rnacentral:lncRNA from 1 species
CGCUGUAGCUGAGCUGCAGAAAUAGGAUGGGGGUGUUUGUACAACUCUUCUCUGGAUGCCUAGCCAGGGACAUUUCUUUCUUUCUAGUUUUUGUCUAACUCUAUGAAAUACUUUCUCCCACCCUGGCUGCCGAAGGUCAUUUCCACUGCUUGGUCAUUUUAUAAUGACUGUAAUAUUGGAAGAUCUGGCUGUGUGGCCAGUUUGUUCUGCCCUUAGGUCUUUGGCAGGAGAUUUGUGAGUUUGUAUGUGUGUGGGGGAGGGGAGGCUGCAUGUGAUCCAUCCAAAAGCCUCAUCCACAUAGGCUGAUAAAAGCAAACUCAAAGCAAGGAGACGCCCUAGACUGCGCUCAGGCCCUCCAACCACCUGUCCUUGCUCUAAAAAUGGACUCAUGGCUCCAGGAUCUGGACUCUGUAUCCUACUUGGAUUGCUGCCUCUGAUAUCCUUUGCAGGGUGGCAGGGCGUGUGGGAAUUCAGACAAGCUGAAUCUCAUCAACAACUUGAUGAACACCUGCUUUCAUUCCCGGUGCUGGACGCUGGUGCAGCCGUACUCUGGCUGGCAGCGCUAAAAACCCUACAGUCCACGAGAGAGCAGUGAACAGGAAUAUUUUCAAGAGCAGAUGGGACGUACCUUCAAAACGCAGGAUUGUCCCACUGAAACUGGGACAUCUGGCAACCCUAAAAAAGCCCAAACUAGAUGAAAUAAAAAUUAUGAGAUGGAGAAGCA